CGCGGGAAGCGAAGCCCCUCAUUGAUCCAGACAAUUACCUCGCGAAGCUUCAAUCCGCUUUUCAAUUCCGAUCGAGCUAUCAAGGGGAGAUUGAUCGAGCCAGGGAUCUCGGGAUGUAUCACGAGUUCAACUCAACCCUGCUGACUAAGCGUGCGCUGUGGUGCAUCCGCACGAUCCUCAUCGCUCGAAGUGCUGAACGGCGCGAUCCCCUUUUCGCGCCGCA
rnacentral:misc_RNA from 1 species